UACGUAGGGUGCGAGCGUUGUCCGGAAUUAUUGGGCGUAAAGGGUUCGUAGGCGGUCUGUCACGUCGAAAGUGAAAACUCAGGGCUUAACCCUGAGCCUGCUUCCGAUACGGGCAGACUAGAGGUAUGCAGGGGAGAAUGGAAUUCCUGGUGUAGCGGUGAAAUGCGCAGAUAUCAGGAGGAACACCAGUGGCGAAGGCGGUUCUCUGGGCAUUACCUGACGCUGAGGAGCGAAAGUGUGGGGAGCGAACAGG
rnacentral:rRNA from 1 species